rnacentral:rRNA from 1 species
CCUACGGGGUGCAGCAGUGGGGAAUAUUGCACAAUGGGGGAAACCCUGAUGCAGCGACGCCGCGUGAAGGAAGAAGUAUUUCGGUAUGUAAACUUCUAUCAGCAGGGAAGAAAAUGACGGUACCUGACUAAGAAGCCCCGGCUAACUACGUGCCAGCAGCCGCGGUAAUACGUAGGGGGCAAGCGUUAUCCGGAUUUACUGGGUGUAAAGGGGGCGUAGGCGGUUUAGCAAGUCAGAAGUGAAAGCCCGGGGCUCAACUCCGGGACUGCUUUUGAAACUGUUGAACUAGAGUGCAGGAGAGGUAAGUGGAAUUCCUAGUGUAGCGGUGAAAUGCGUAGAUAUUAGGAGGAACACCAGUGGCGAAGGCGAGAACUUAGGCUAUCACUGACGCUUAGGCUCGAAAGUGUGGGGAGCAAAUAGGAUUAGAUACCCCAGUAGUC